GUACAGAGGGUUGCCAAGCCGUAAGGUGGAGCUAAUCCCUUAAAGCUACUCUCAGUUCGGAUUGUAGGCUGAAACUCGCCUACAUGAAGCUGGAGUUACUAGUAAUCGCAGAUCAGAAUGCUGCGGUGAAUGCGUUCCCGGGUCUUGUACACACCGCCCGUCACACCACGGGAGUUGGAGACGCCCGAAGCCGAUUAUCUAACCUUUUGGAAGAAGUCGUCGAAGGUGGAAUCAAUAACUGGGGUGAAGUCGUAACAAGGUAGCCGUAUCGGAAGGUGCGGCUGGAUCACCUCCUUUCUAAGGAGA
rnacentral:rRNA from 1 species